UAUCUACUCGUACCCUUGACUUUAGUCUUUUCUACCUCGAUGGAUAUGCAAACCCAAUAUUUAGUAUUUAUACGAAAAUCAUUCUAUAAAAUAAACCAUGAUACUCAUUUUUGAAGUUAGAAUAAAAUUGUCAAAGGAAACCGGUUACCGCGAGACGCGAGACUGAAGGGGUCAACGAGAAUAAAUGAUGCGCACAACACUCAACUACUUACCGUGAGAUUCUGGACUCGGAUUAAUUUAUACAAAUGUAUGUGGGAAUUGAGAUGACCGUUGAUCCUGUGUCUGCAUCUUCACGACAUUUGCACUUUGAUCUUCCACCGAUACAGUCAGUUUAAAAAUUAAUAAAAAUGGUUCCAUUUGGGAAGUGAUGUGCUUUGUGACGUGUGAAACUGUGUUUUUUCGUGUGACUGAUGUGUUUUACUGCCAAGAAGGCAUGCCGGGCAUCCGGCGCCCCGGGCGUCCCCUCGGCGCCUCCGCCAGCGCAGCCUCCGAGAGCCGACACGCUGAAGACCGAAGACCCAUUUUCCAACGCCCGCCCGCCCAAGACGCUCAAAACCGGUGUUAUCUGAUGCGUGACGUCACAAGUCACCGAUCGAGCAACAACCAUCACACGUGACGUCACAAGGCUGUCACGGAGCUGUCAUCUGCUUCAGUAGGCGUCACCUGUACACACAGACACGACGACAUCAGAGAUGGCGAGGAGCUGGCGAGGACACGUAAGCACCAGCUGUCUGCUUGCCCUGCUUCAGCAGCCAUGCUUGCUUGCCGCUUGCGUGUCACUACUGGUCCAUCGCCACAAACAUUCUCCGUACUACCUUUUGCGACUGAACCGUGGUUUAGAUGAUUAUACACUCACGAGCUAUGAAAAAGUUCCACUUAGAAAAUUUCGACAAAAAUGACCCAAUUUUUUAAACAUAUAAAUUACAAUUUGAU